UACGUAGGGGGCAAGCGUUGUCCGGAUUUAUUGGGCGUAAAGAGCGUGUAGGCGGCUUUGCAAGUCCGUUGUGAAAACUCGAGGCUCAACCUCGAGACGCCGGUGGAAACUGCAAAGCUAGAGUCCGGAAGAGGAGAGUGGAAUUCCUGGUGUAGCGGUGAAAUGCGCAGAUAUCAGGAAGAACACCGGUGGCGAAGGCGGUGGGCUGGGCCGGCACUGACGCUGAGGAGCGAAAGCGUGGGGAGCGAACAGG
rnacentral:rRNA from 1 species